rnacentral:lncRNA from 1 species
UCCGAUCCGGAAAGUAACCCAACUAGCUACUCAUUUUAGUUUGUACCUACCAAUCGCUGCACUCGCAGCCCACGAAGUCCGCCAUUCCGAUCCGGGACUCCGGCAGAGUAGUAAUAAAAUAAAAUAGAAGUUAUGUAUGUAUGUUUAUCGUUCCAUUUACAUACGGAGAGCUGAAGAAUCAAGCACGCCAUCAUCUUUCUCUCUCCAACUUCCAACAAUACCACUUUAUCUGUCCAUACUCCUAUAUAUAUAUUACACCUAUAUAUACAGAAGUUUGAGUAACUUGCGGAUGAUCGAUGGCGCUUUCACGGCUAAGACAUCCGGUGAUUUCACGGGCUCCUCGCAUUUUCUCUUCCACCGCCUUCACCUUUCGAUACCUUGCUCGGUACGAUCUGUCGGUUCUUAAAUUUCAAUGUAUUUAUUUAUACAAAAUUCUAUUCAGAUGGUUAGUAAUACUUUCAUUUUAAAUAAAUUUACCUGAUAAAGAGUGUAUUGACAAUUGUAUCUUUUGUUUCCAAGUGUUGUGGGAUUAGUAAUGAUGCUGUUUUGGAUUUUUUAAGAUGCAAUAAACUUAAUUUUGUAUCCAAAUUUGGCUGAAUUAUGGUGGAGCUGUUUGAUAGUGGGAGUUGGGGUAGUCUCUGGCUGGCUGAGUGGUGAGAAAUUGUCGAAAUCUAGUAUCAGUUCAAUAAGUAAGAGCCCUGUUUCUGCAUUUGAAUUGCAAUGCAAUAUUGCACCUAUGAGUUUAGGAAGAUAGUGGAAAUUGUUUCUCAAGCAUAUUUUGUCUUUGUUUCUUGAGAAUGAAGGAGUACUUUGCAAUGUAGGCUUCUUUUAGCUUAAGAUGAUGUUUUUGGGCUUCCUUAGUUCCUUAGCUUAUUAAGAUGAUGUUUGCAAUGAUCAUAAAUUCUUUUUUUUUCCUACCAAACAAAAUUUAACAAAUAAGGAUACCAUAAUAAGAAAAGAUACCCGCCCAGUUGCAGUGAAGCAAGACUUUUAAUUGGUCCUCCUAUUAAACUCACUCUGGUACCAUGUGAAUGCUAGAAUACAAUCUUAUUCCAUACUUAUGAAUGUUCGUAAUAUAGCCUUUAUGUAGGCCAAGACAACAGCUGUACAUGGAAAGGAAAUUCAUCACUCAAAUCAAUCAGUGAUCCAUAAUUACUACUGAUCAUGCAUCUAGAAUAAUCAUAGCUCAACGGAUUACCAUUAAUCAUACAUCUAUAAUAAUCCUAACUCCAGUGUUCAUUCCGAUAAUCAUGAUUCUUAAAUCCUUCUAGAAUCAUCUCUAACAACUCCACUUAUCACGCUAAUAAUCAUGAUUCUAGAAUCCUCUCUAACUCAGAAGGUGAAUGAACAAAGAAUAGAGUAGGAAGAAGAGAGAUAAGGAGGGAAGCUAGAAAAUGGGAGAAAUUAUAGUAACAGAGGAAAACUUGCAAAAUAUAGUCUAACACAGAGAAGAAAGAGGAAAAAUUAGAGUUAAGAGAAAGAAAAUAAAAGAAUAUGUGGAAGAGACUAGAGAGACAAUGUAGAAGAGAGUGCAUGAAGAAGAUAAGAAGAGCAUAAGAGGAAGCAUAUAUAAGUGAGAGAACUAGUAGAGUUGUAGAGUUGGAGAGAGGGAUUUUGGGAACAGGAGAGAAGACUUCCUAUCUACCUCAACAUAUAUCUCAUCAUAGUCCAUAGUCCAUGGCUCUACACCUUACAUUGUACUUUUUCCUUGUGUAAGUUACUAGGUGUAUCAUGUAUUGUGAGUCUAGACCAACUCUUGAUUAAUUUAACCUAAAUUUUUUUAAUAGGCAAAACUAAUGAAUUACACAACGUAGUUGACAUGUUUUACUGAUUACAUCAUUGAACUUUUAAUUUUUUAAAUUACGCCAAUAAAGUAAUUAUUAUUUUGAAAUUGGGUCAUUCCAUUAAAAAAUUAAACGGACGUUAAUUUUUUAUUGGCAAAACUAAUGAAUUACCCACUGUAGUUGACACGUUUUACUAAUUACACCAUUGAACUUUUAAUUUUUCAAAUUACGCUAGUUAACUAAUUAUUAUUUUAAAAUUGGGUCAUAUUGUUAAAAAAAUUAAACAUGCGUUAUUUUUUUAUCUACGUGGCUUUGAAAAAGAAAUAAAAAAAAUCAAAAAUAUUACUUAUAUGACAAAAAAAUAACUUGAAAGUGAAAACAAAAAAAUCAAAUUUUUUGGGUACUCGGAUCUUAUUAGAUGUUUAUCAAUAGAAAAAACUUCCUCAAGAAUGGAAAACAAUUCAUCAGUAGCAGAAAUGAAAGCGUGGUAAUUGGUAACAGUUACCUCUUGCAUGUGCCUCUGAAUUCUCUCCGAAUUCACCCGUAAAAACUCAGGUUCCUACCAAAUCAUAAAUACAAUCCCAACAAAAUCAAUUUAACCAAAUAUUACUAUCACAUGUGUAUAUAUAUAUACACACACACACACAUAGAUAUAGAGAGAUUGGGGAAGGGAUGGACCUUGUGGAGGCGAUCUAGAGUGAAGGAGAGGAGUUCAAAGACAUAAGGCUGCUGAGAAUCGGAGCCAAGAGGCAAGAGGCAAGAGGAAGGAAACCUACUGCAUUACCAUUUACUUCAUUUGUUGUUGUUGGGGAUUCAGACUUCAUUGUUAUAUCUAAUACUGAACUUUGAAGCUCAAUUCAAUGUUUUGGGUACUCGGAUCUCGAAACUUUCAUAGAUUUUAAAGAGAGAAAAUACGAAAAUCUAUUAUAGUAGUUUGAACUUUAAACGAGUCGAGUAUAAUUUUGAUCAGAUUCUGCUCGUAUUUUUAUUCAAACUAUUUUUAUGCUCAAAUUUAGAUCAUAUUAUUAACGAAUCCAAGUCUUGUAUUUUUUUGAGUCGAGCCUGAAUCGAUCCCGAACUGUUAAGUUCAUUUACAAUUUUAGAUGGGAGGAAGGAAGAGAGAAUAAAUUAAAUUUAUUUAUUUUCUUUUUUCUUUUCACGUCCACGUAGGAUAAAAAUUAAAACGAUUUAAUAGUCGUGAGACAGAGAUAACAGAAUGAUUCAAUUUCAAAAUAAUAAUUAGUUUACUGAGGUAAUUUGAAAAAUUAAAAGUUCAAUGACGUAAUCAGUAAAACGUGUCAACUACAGUGGAAAAUUCAUUAGUUUUGUCGAUAAAUUAAAGUCCGUUUAAUUUUUUUAACGGAAUGACCCAAUUUCAAAAUAAUAAUUAGUUUACUGGGAUAAUUUGAAAAAUUAAAAGUUCAAUGAUGUAACCAGUAAAACGUGCCAACUACAGUGAGUAAUUCAUUAGUUUUGUCUUUUUUUAAUAGAUUUACAAAAAAACAACUUAGGGAUAGGGAAAUGUCCUACAUAUGUUAUAUUCUUUUAAUCCAUCAUCCAAGUAAAAGCAUCGGAUAUCCCUUAGACCAUGUCAAGCUUGAACCUAUUUGAGUUCAACUACUGCAAUAAUGGAGUUGGGAUUUUGAGAAAUAAGGGUUUUACGAAGAACUUGGAGAAGAAGAAAUCUUGAGAGCGAAGGAUUGGAUAAACCACCCUUUUAAUUCAGUUCAUUCAUAUGGACAUUCAUUACAUUCUAUUUUCUUAUUUAGAGACUAUUAACAUGAACCAAGUAUGCUAAAAUGCACUAUAGGAGGCAUAGUUGUCACAACAUUGUGUAGGCGUCCUGACGCUAGAGAAGGAAAAGGCAAUAUUGGACGCCGAACUGCCAAGACUCACACCUUGGUAGCUUGCCCAAGUUAAGUAAUUAAGUCAUUUUGUACCCAUGACUCAUAACCCAUGUACUUGCUAUGUGGUGUAAUUUUAUUAUUUAUUAGAAUUGUAAUGUGUGAUGGGUGUUGAAUUCGUUGAUUCUUUAUUUUCUACGUAUUGUUGACUUGUUCUACUAGUUUUAUUUUUGAAUAUGUGAAAUAUUCAUAUAACUGUGUUUUAAUUGUAUUUCAUAAUGUUAGUUAUGAUGUUUUGAGUUUUAAUGUAUAUAAAAUUUUAUUGUUCAAAAUACUUUUGGAAUAAAAUAAAUAAAAUGUAUAAAUUACACAUUGUUAACGACUUUAUGCCAUGACUGACGUCUUAUCUCCUAGGCGUCCUAGCGGUCAACUACGCUGCGUCUCGGCGUGGCAACAUGACAACUAUGAAUUGGGAGUAUGGGGUAAACUACCACUUAUAGUUUACUUUAUUUAUCCUAGUGUCCUUUGGCCUUACAUUGCCUUCACCUCAAAUGAUUCAUUUCCUCAUGGAUGUUAAGCUUUUGUUCCUUUGGCAUUCCUCUUAUCAAAAUUGAUGUGUUGGAAUUUGCAUAACUCAAUCCUUCAUAAGUUGUCUACAACGGCUCCCUAAAUUUUAUCCAGUUCAAAAGAAAUUUCUUCCCUGCCUUACCCUUAUGAUCCGGGACUUAAACAAUCGUAGGCAUAGGCAUAUACAUAGGCACAAAACUUUGCAGUAUAUAUGCUUAAAUUCAGUUAUAUAGUCCUCUGACUUGCCUGCCUCGAGUUUGAAAACCACCUUAUCACUAGGUAGGGCUUCUAGCAGUGCCUCAUUGAUUCAAGGGCUUCAAGAAAGAUGACUUGAACCUUAGACCUUGGUUCUUUUGUUGACAUGUCAUGGAGUUGAUAGAGGAAAUAGGUUGAAAAAAAAUCAUUCUUACUUACCUAAACUCAGAUUUAGUGGUCAAAGUGAAACAAUGACUGAUGAGCAAUUUCUCCUCAACUCUAGUGCAAAAUAUUGUUUCUAUUGAUGUAGUUGAUACCCAGAUCAUAUUUUUAUGCAUGAUCAGAGAUUUUUGUAAAUCUAUCCUUCACACAAGUUAUUUAGACAUGUACCAAAUGCACCAUUUUGCUGUCACUAAAAACUUUAGCAUGUCCGAGUAUUCUAAACUUUGUAUUUUGGCGGAUCACAGAUUUACAAUACACCUGCAUCUGCUGCUACAAGCAGCUCCCUGUAGUAGUGAUUUUGGUUUAGGAAAGUGUUAUCAUAUCUGAGUCAUUUGUCCACCAAGGAAUACAUAAUAUAAUUUCUGUUAUCUCCCAUAUAUCAAUGAAGUGUACGUCUAUUUAUGCAAUGCCAUGUGUGCUGUUUAUGUUAUUGAUCAAUGUUUUGUUGCUAGUGCAGCAGUUCUGGCUUACAGAAAUCUAUUACUAAUAUUGAUGGAACAUUGUUAAGGUCUGCAUCUAUGAACUUUUGGCUUGUUGGCCCUUGAGAUGAUAAUAUGAUUGCAUUACAUGAUCUAUUUACCCAUAUCAUUUUUUGUAGCUAUUAAUAUUAAUGGCAUUUGUUAAAAAGUUUUUGUUCUCUAGAGUACCAAAUGCCUGACAAAAGUUCAGGAAGUAGGUCUAAGUUUGAGUUUUGUAAUAGUUCGACUUGGCAUUUUGAAAUGACUGAAAUCAAAACCUUGGGAAGCUUUUAGAUUAAGGUUCAGGGACAAACGUAAUGUAAAAAUCAAACGGAGAAAGGCGACGUAGACACUUGAUCACAGUGUAUUUCUAAACCCCAGACUCAGUUCAAAACUCAAUCCAACUUCCAGUGUCGGGUGUGGGUGAUUGUGUCAAAGUUCAAAAAUGGUUAUUUCCUUAGAUUCGUUAGUAAUUUUCGAGACUUAUACCCAGUUUGAGCAUUUUUUCAUCCCUUCCAUAAUAAGCUUUGACCAAAUAUCAAACAAAUGACCCCCACAAGAUCAGGUUUGUCAGUUCAUUGUUUCAUUAGGUGAUUUGAAUUGAUCAAUCAUGACAAUCUUCUUGUUCCUAUAUCCUUGACUUAUCACUGAUGAUGAAGUUUAUCAGGCCUAUAGCUCCGUCAGUACACACUGGAAUUCAUGAAAAUUCUUCCAAACUCGAGGUUAGUCAUUAAACUUUUUAACAAUAUUCAUUGUUCGCACAUUAAUUUCUAACAUUCAUCGUGUUUUUGCAGUUGCAAACGGGUUUCAGAUACUUCUCAUCUGCAGGUAUAGUUGUACAGAUGUUCUCUUUUAUAUACUUUAAAUCUUUGUUCUAUAUAGCACUCUUAAAACUCUAAUAGUUUUUUGCUUGAAGGAGCUUGUGUUAGUAUUACCUAAUUCCAAAUUUUAGAUGUUGAAUUUUUAGAGCUGUCUUGGGAAACCUAUUUUGGACAAACUAUUUAUGGUCUUGCAUUAGAAACCAUAGAAAAUAUUUUCAAUUUUAUUAUUUGGAUAGCCUUGCACUACAUGAGAAAUAAUAAC